rnacentral:rRNA from 1 species
UACGUAGGGGGCAAGCGUUGUCCGGAUUUAUUGGGCGUAAAGAGCGUGUAGGCGGCUAGAUAGGUCCGUUGUGAAAACUCGAGGCUCAACCUCGAGACGCCGGUGGAAACCAUCUAGCUAGAGUCCGGAAGAGGAGAGUGGAAUUCCUGGUGUAGCGGUGAAAUGCGCAGAUAUCAGGAAGAACACCGAUGGCGAAAGCAGCUCUCUGGGACGGUACUGACGCUGAGGCGCGAAAGCGUGGGGAGCGAACAGG